rnacentral:lncRNA from 1 species
GGAAUCUGUUGAGUUGGCCUGAGCAUGUAAUUUCCAGAUUCCGGAAUCCAAUUGACUCCAGUCUUCAUCGGAGGAGAAGGACGAGGUUGUCCAAUGGAUUGUCUUCGAUUACCAACAGACAUAUUGGCUAACUUCUCAGCAGUUUCUGAAACACCAUGUGUACUCCUCCCCAUGUUUAUUGAAGCUGCCAACAACCAAUAUAACUUCAAUAAUAAAUAACCAGGGUACUGUAAGGGGUACUGACUGCUAUAGAGUACUGUAAUACAGUUUUACAUGAAUUGAUAUUCAUGGCACCAUAAAAAUACAAUAAUUAACCAAACAUAGAAGGCUAAAUAAAUAGCUUACUUGGGCUGUUCUUUCCUGGUGGACGAUAUUUUGAUUGCUUUGUAGUUUUCAUUGAAUUAUCAUUCUUUAUUCCAUCCUUCAGAAGAAUCACAAAGAAAAUGUUGGCAUAACAGACAAGGAUGUAUGAAAAGACCCAUAUGAACAAUUUAGCAGUCCAGCAAAUCAUUCAUUAACUAAAACUACUCUACUAUUAUGCAACAAAAAAUAUAUUUCAAAUUAUAAGUAGAUUUUGAUUUUCAUGAUAUCAUAUGGGGUAAAGAGAAAAAUAUGCAUGUGUCGAGAAAGUAGAGAACAAUUGACCUGAUUUACCAUAUUCAGCUUCCGCUGGACACCUGCAACAUAUGCAUAUUUGGUUAAGAACAUUGUUCCUUGGAUUCAAAAUAUGAGCUUCGGCAUGCCACUAAAAAAGACAUUAAUAAAGCCCAAAAUAAGACUUGGUUACAUUCCUCAUUUAGUUUCCUUCAUUGAGAUAUAUAUAAUGAAUAACUUACUGCCUUAAACACUAACAUAUACUUCUAACCAUUGAAUAAUAUAAUUAGCUCUAGCUCUUGAAGUAAGGAGAAAAAAAAGAAACAUGGAACUUAAUCUACUGUGUUAAACCAAUUCAGAUCACCUGAAGCUAAAGAAGGAUGUAAUUUCGGGGAAGUAAAAUUGUUGAGGAGCAUUGAAUUAUUGAAAGCACUCGAAUAUCUCUUGACCCCUGGCUGAUCCAAGGCUCCCCUGGUUGCAGCUGAGGAAAAUGACAAUUACCAUUAUGAUCCCAACACAAUUGUUUAAUAAGCAUGUCCUUAGUUGACUGCAUAAAUAAAAAUACAAACCUGACGGAGGAGUUCUCGCUACCGCUCUGGUGCGGAGGGAUGGAGGAAUGUAAAAGCAACUCUAAAACAAAUUAGAAAUAAAAAAGGUCUUAAUAAAGCUGCUGAUAAGUUAAAAACAUGAUAUAUUUCAUGCAGUGAAGAUAGACAACAAACCUUGAAUUUUAGUCAAAAGAACACUAUAUAUAUAUCAUGAAGUGAACAUAGACAACAAAAAAUAAAUUUUAGUUAAAAGACUACCUGGAAGAAAGGAUGUUGUAGGGCCUCUGAAGCUGUUGGCCUCUUGCAAGGAUCCCAUGAGCAAAGUGACUACAAAGGAAAGGAGAAAUGAGGAAAAAGUAUUAACUCUACUGGUUGAGAACUAGUUGACAGGUCUAACCCACUAAGCAAUGACUGGAAAACUGCUUACUGUGAUAAGGCAGAUUGCAUCAACACUGGCGGAUGGGAUCAAUGAAGAAAGUUGUACACCAGCAAGCUGUAGAAAUUAAGUAAGACUGUGUUAAAAUAUAACCUAAAGCAGAAAACAUGGGAUAGUCAAUACCAAGAGACGAUUAAAUUUUUCAUCAAACUCAAAUUUGGACAUAAAUGCAUAAUCAAUAAUUCAGCUAGAAUGCCUAUAUGGAUCAUAACAGCUUAAGAGCUGGUUACUAAAAAUAGCAUUGCCCAAAUUAAGAUAAACUAACCUGUGGGAAAUUAUUGUUGAUCUCUGGCAUUAAAUUGAUACUACCUCAAACAGUUGUGCUACAACAUGACUACAAUAUAAGAUAAAAAGUGUUUUUUUUUCAUUCUAAAAUACAUGUAUCUGGGAUUGGGAAUGAGUACCCAAACCAUAUUCAUUGUCAUCCUACGUAUUAACAGCACUAACAUUCUUAAGGGUUUUGCAAAUGAAUAAGAUACUUGUUUAAUGAAUAGAGAUAUAAGUUUUUACAUUCAUCAACAUAUUUUUUUUGUAAUUGUAACUUCAAUUUUCUGCUCUGAUUCAUUAAAUUCUGGCUCCUCUCACCCCUGGAUAAUUCGCCAGCAUCCCAUCUAUUUCAGGAUCUUACUCACAUUCAUGAAUUGUUCAUUGUUACUGCGUUUCAAUUUUUGUACAAUGCAAUUCAUCCAAGGUGGGUUUUAGGAUCCAAUUAAUGUCACUUUUGUUUUCUCAAGUUUUAGUGGUUUCAUUCUAGUGUUUAUUUUGUUUUUGAAUUACAAUUAAAUUUGAUAUUCAGAUAAUAAUCACACUCAUAUUUACAUUUACACAUAAUUAUAAAUUAUUUAAUUAACACGCCUAACAUAAGAUAAAUUAUUAUAUUAUAGUAGGCCAAUAGCCUAAGUCACAUCUAAACCACUUAUAAUAUAUUAAUGAAUUAAAAUUACAUGAAUUUAUUUAAAAUCACUAUCUAAAUCUAAUUGAGAUCAUUGAUUCAGACCAUAUAUGUUAGUUCCUAACCUGAAAAAAAGCAAAAGAAGAACUCGUGCUAAGUGUGAGCUGGGUCAUGAAUAUUGAGGUUGAGGAUUCCAUGAGUUAUAGUAUAUAUAGGUAUCAAUGAAGAACAAAUGCAAAAGCCAUAGAAAAUAAUACAAGACAUAGAAAUUUUCAAUUUUUCAUUGUUUAACUUGGUAAGUAGCUUUCAUAUAGUAAUAGUGAAGCUAGUACAUUUCAGUAUAGCAACCAAGCCAUUCACAAUGAAAGGAACGUUGAUGUGAUUCUUCUCUACCAUUCCAAGUUUCCAACACUAAAUUUCAAAUUGAUAACUCUUUUUGAUUCUCUGAAUUUAACCAUAAAUAUGCUUGAUUGUUUAUUUUGUACAGGUAACCAAAAAAGAAAGAGCAUAGAUGUUCAACUGCAUUUUUUCAAAGAAACGAUUUGAUGAAGAUGAAAGAGAAGGCCAAGACAGUGACCCUUCUAGAGCAUCAUAACCAAAAAGUGUUAUAGCGCAGGUUUUUUAUCCAACCUUUAUCACCAACAUACUUGGCUUUUGCAUCUUCCUUUUCCCAUCUUCUUUUGCAUCUUCCUACUUUUUUAUGUCUCAUGUGUCUUAAUCCAAUUGAAAAUUGUCAUGUGUUUGGAAAAAAGACAUAAUAUAACAUUUUUAUAUUAUUUGAUGGAAUAUAACAAAAAAAUUUUUGGACGUUAGCUAAUUAUACAUGCUAUUGGCCAAUACCCAAGCUGAUAUAUACAAAAUAUAUGUAACUAUAGGGAUAUGUGGUUUGUUAUAGUUUUAUAAUACAAACAUGAUUGAAAAAUUUAAUGCCCUCAUGUUAAUCUGGUUUUGUUCUUCAUAUGCAGUCAACAGUACUCCUAUGUAACCGAUAUUGUGCAGCACCAAUCCCUAGAAGGGAUGAUAAGGUAGAAUUUGCUGGUGUUCAUAUAAGUAGACAUGCAUCAACCCUAGCCAGUGAAAUAGUGGAGGAGGAAGAGGAGGGUUUCAGGGAAUGGGUGGCUGAGGUUGAUGCUGGUGUUCAAAUGACCUAUCAGUCUCUUCCCGGUGGUGGAAAUAAAAUUGUGAGAAUCAAGUUCAGGUAUGUUACUAGGUGACAAGUAUUGGCACCUAAAAAGAGAAAGAAAGCAAAGAUAUCAUUCAUUGAUAUAGUAGUACCAUGUCACAACCAGCUGAAAAUUCCACAUCAUACCACAAUACCAAACGACUAUUAAAUAAUACAAACGGCAACACUGGCUUUGUAGUUUAGAGUUUCGCCAAAGUCAUCAUGAGGAUCAGAAUUCAGAACAUAUCCAACACCCCAUACCCCCAGAUUAUUAUAUAUAAUUAUAUAUAAUACACAGCAUUCACAAUAUUGGCCAAAGUCAUGCUUCUCAUCCGGCAACUUUUCUUAUGAAAGUUCUUCCAUUUGGAAUCUGUUGAGUUGGCCUGAGCAUGUAAUUUCCAGAUUCCGGAAUCCAAUUGACUCCAGUCUUCAUCGGAGGAGAAGGACGAGGUUGUCCAAUGGAUUGUCUUCGAUUACCAACAGACAUAUUGGCUAACUUCUCAGCAGUUUCUGAAACACCAUGUGUACUCCUCCCCAUGUUUAUUGAAGCUGCCAACAACCAAUAUAACUUCAAUAAUAAAUAACCAGGGUACUGUAAGGGGUACUGACUGCUAUAGAGUACUGUAAUACAGUUUUACAUGAAUU